GUCUGCAUUUCUUCUGUUGAAGUUAAUGAUAAAAAGAUACAAUUGUAUAAAACAGUUACAUUAAGUUCCGAUUUAUAUGAUUUUCCGAGUGUUCAUUAUAUUCUAUACCUCCAAGUUAAAAAAUAGAAGUAAAAUACAAUUUGAUUUGAUGGAUGGACGUGGUCUUUGAAAAGUCUUUGAAAAGUGCAUGCCAUGCUCCAAUCUAUUUAAAACAUUAACAACCCUUGCAUUAGCGAUUUAAUUUCCAUUGUUGAACCAUAUGAUAAAAAAACCAUUGCAUGACAUUUUCAUACCAUCUGUGAUAUCAGCCACCGAGCCUUCUGCUCUUGGUCUUAUAUUGAACUUUGAACUUAUUAUAUCUGAUGUUUAUACGUCGUGUAAUAAUCAGAUAAUAUUAUAUAUCCGUUUUCCCCGUUAAGUGGUAACGGUCAAACUCAUUAUUUUUUGGUCAAAAUACAGUAGAAAUAUAUCUAUAUAAAUCUGAGCAGAUGUGGUAUGAUUGCCAAUGAGACACAUUUUCACCAAGAUUAAAACGAAGUGUAUGUAAUCAAUGAUAUGUUUACCUUUUUUUCGCCUUAACCUCUGCAACUUAGAUCACUCACUCUUGUAGUGACAGAAUGACUAGAAUACAUUUCUUUAUAUCUAAGUUAUUGGUCACGUUUAAAUUAUUAUUAUAAAAAAAAUAAUCCAUUACGAUAUCAAUUUUUAGAUCUGACACGUGUCAGCUGUGGUAUAAUGCUAGUUGUUCUAUGAGAUGUCAUCAUACUGUUACAAAGGAGAAGAUUUUUGUAAAAGUAUACGACGGACGACGGAUGCCAAGUGAUGAGAAAAGCACAGUUGGGCUCUUUGUGCCUGGUGAGAUAAAAAGGCAGCAUGAUGUCAACAUUCGUUUUGAAUAGGACAAGCGAGUUAUCUGCCUACAAAACCUUGAAAUAAAUAGAAUAAGAUUUAUUUUUUUAGGGGUAACAUAAUUUUAAAAAAAUGCAUAUUAACACUUGGUCAAAUUAUGCUGUAUUGGGAUACAAACAAUACCAAUCAUACUUUAAAACUGUAGCUCGAGAUCAGACUACUGUCCAGGGUUUCAUUAUAUGUGGAGCGGGUAGUUUAAAUUUGUGUUACCAAUUUUAUAAUUAAAAUCAGUACUUUAUACUAUAGUUCUUACAUCCAGCGUGUCAUUUUUUAUCUUUUGUUCUAUAACUACACUACAACAUCUAAAAAAUUACUUCUGUCAAAAAAGAAAAAUGGAAAAGAUGAAAAUGACUACCUAAUCACUAACUGGGCAGCAAGCAUAUACAUGUUUGUACUUAUUAUAAAUAACAUACAUACAAACAUACAUACAUACAAACAUCCUCAAACUUCACAAAAUGUAAUGUAACAAUAACUCAGUUUUAUGUAAAUGCAAAUGUAUGUGUUUAUGUUCCGGACCUUAUGAGUAAUUGAAAUAAUGAUACCAUAUGCGUAUACUCAUGUGGUCCGACCAUACACGUAUGGUCCGACUAACCGUACGCUUAUGUUCGGAACAAAUGAAUAUAUACUCGUUUGGUUAUUAAUGCACUAGAAACAUUUAAAUAAUACAAUUAACUUUAUCUACGAAAAAAAUGAUGUUGUGUUGAUAAGUCUUUAGUUUUCUAUAUUGUGUCUUAUGUACUAUUAUUUGUCUUUUUGUCUUUUUCUUUUUAAGCCAUGACAUUGUCAGUUUAUUAUCGAACUAUGAGUUUGACUGUACCUCUAAUAUCAAUCCCCCCUUUUACAUGCAAUGUAUUGAUUUUAUAAUUCUAUAAUACAAAGGUUACACAAAACGGCACAAGUUUUAAGUUGAAACCCUAUGUCUUUCACACCUUGUCUAAAUCUGGGCGUACACAUGUGCCUGUUUCUGUCCUUCUCUCGUGUCAACCAUUAAACUAUUAAUCCUGUCGACUUUUUAGUCAGUUAGUAAACAGUUGACUUCUUGUUUAAAAGUUCAUCAAGAUAUUUUUGUAAGUUAUCUUCCAAAGUCGACAUAUUGACAUUCACUCGUUAUGCCAAAUCGAUAAUGAAUAUAGAUUACUAUAGUUUUGACUAUUUAUUAAAACUAACUUUGUGAAGCUGCCAUUUUAAAUUUAGUAAAUAAUAUUAUUAUUAUUAUUACAAUAUCAUAAUCAAAUAUAAUCAAAUGACCUUUGAUGUAACAACUAGAAUGGACUUACAUUAUUGAGACAUUAGUAUAAAAAGUAAACAUGUUUUAAAAUUACUCCGACCAUACGCGUACGGUCGGACCAUACCCG
rnacentral:lncRNA from 1 species